rnacentral:lncRNA from 1 species
AGUACUGUUACAUGCAGUCUACAUGCUGCCUCUGCAUCCCCUCUUCAAUGAAUCUCCAUGUAUUGUACUGCAGUUCUGGACUGUUCAGUGGCUCCCCUACCUAGAGCCAAGGGAGCGCUGAACCUGAGAAGUAUGAGGUUUGAAUUAAGAAAUUCAUCAUUUAUCAUGCAAAGGAUGCAAAGUUACAUGAAAUAUUAAGAAUGAUUCCCAUCCCAGAGCAAGACUUAACUUGAUCACAUUGAAAGGGUUGCUAUUGAGUACUUUGUGCCCAAAUCCACAGCUCUUAGUAGGCAUUCAAAAAUGCUUUGGCAAAGUGAAUAAACAUAGCUAGAUAUAUAAAACAAAUAAAUAGAAAUAGGUAAAAAAAUCUUGCUAAUGGGAGUAUUUCUGAUUAGCCUAAUGAGAAUCUUUUUUUCUAAUCUUUUUCUAGAUUUACUUGGUAGUGGCUGUUAUCUGAAAAUGACUAAUUCACUUUGGGUUUGUUUUUAGUUUUUUUUUUUUAAGAAAAAAAUGAAAUAAUACCUGUCAAAUUCAUUUUUUAAGAACAAUAGUUUUGGGGCACUAGA